UGGGGAAUUUUGGACAAUGGGCGCAAGCCUGAUCCAGCAAUGCCGCGUGCAGGAUGAAGGCCUUCGGGUUGUAAACUGCUUUUGUACGGAGCGAAAAGGUCUGCCCUAAUACGGUGGGCUCAUGACGGUACCGUAAGAAUAAGCACCGGCUAACUACGUGCCAGCAGCCGCGGUAAUACGUAGGGUGCGAGCGUUAAUCGGAAUUACUGGGCGUAAAGCGUGCGCAGGCGGUUAUAUAAGACAGGUGUGAAAUCCCCGGGCUCAACCUGGGACCUGCAUUUGUGACUGUAUAGCUAGAGUACGGUAGAGGGGGAUGGAAUUCCGCGUGUAGCAGUGAAAUGCGUAGAUAUGCGGAGGAACACCGAUGGCGAAGGCAAUCCCCUGGACCUGUACUGACGCUCAUGCACGAAAGCGUGGGGAACAAACA
rnacentral:rRNA from 1 species